AGAGACCGGCGCACGGGUGCGUAACGCGUAUGCAAUCUACCUUUUACAGGGGAAUAGCCCAGAGAAAUUUGGAUUAAUGCCCCAUAGUAUAAUUGAAUGGCAUCAUUUAAUUAUUAAAGUCACAACGGUAAAAGAUGAGCAUGCGUCCCAUUAGUUAGUUGGUAAGGUAACGGCUUACCAAGACAAUGAUGGGUAGGGGUCCUGAGAGGGAGAUCCCCCACACUGGUACUGAGACACGGACCAGACUCCUACGGGAGGCAGCAGUGAGGAAUAUUGGACAAUGGGCGCAAGCCUGAUCCAGCCAUGCCGCGUGCAGGAAGACGGUCCUAUGGAUUGUAAACUGCUUUUAUACAGGAAGAAACACUCCGACGUGUCGGAGCUUGACGGUACUGUAGGAAUAAGGAUCGGCUAACUCCGUGCCAGCAGCCGCGGUAAUACGGAGGAUCCAAGCGUUAUCCGGAAUCAUUGGGUUUAAAGGGUCCGUAGGCGGUUUAGUAAGUCAGUGGUGAAAGCCCAUCGCUCAACGGUGGA
rnacentral:rRNA from 1 species